GGCUCGGUGGCUUAGUGGUUAACAUAUUUUCUUCACACCUCUAGGGUUGGAGGUUCGAUUCCUUCCGCCGCCG